GGCAUUUCCCUACCAUUGGGCUGGCGCUGCUGUGGCGGUGAGAGCCAGGCUGUUCUGCUGGUGGUAGUGGCAGAGAGGAAGCCUCAGUGACGUAGACCUAAAUUGUUUGUCUGCUGUGGACCCCACUGAGAGGCUGUGCUCACCCUGUACCCCACAUCGCAAGGCUCCUGAGCUGUGAGGGAAGUCAGGUCUCCUAGAGUGAGCACCCCCAAAAGGAAAUGACAGGCACGAGGGAAUCUGAAAAGUCCAAGGCCAAAUUGCUGGACAAGUCUGUCCCCUGUGAGAGCCCUGUUCCUGGCUUACAGAUAACAGCUUCUCAGUUUUCUCAAGGUAUGAGAUGGAGGCACAAGGAAAGGGCAAACUGGUGUUUCUUCUUGUAGGCAUUAAUUCCAUCAUGAGGACUUCACCCUUAGGAUUUCUUCUAAACCUAAUUAACUUCCCAA